AUUCUACUCUGUAUUACAGCCAACCACAUUUCCAGGCUCCCUUGUCCUCUGCUAUCUAGAUCUGUAUGCAAGAAGAAAUGAAAAAGAUGAACAGGUAGAGUCCAGGACUACCUACCACAGCUCAGGAGUUGCCUUGGGAUCCACAAAGAAAUUGAGGUGGUCCAGUACUCAUAAGCCAACAAACUUCAAAGGAGAGUCAAAUGUACAUUUUCAAAAUAAGAGUACUGAAAAGCAUUGAAAUAAACACACAAAAAGAGAUUCAAAUGUACAUCUUAAAAGGAGGAGGAGAUUCUUUGAAGAAGUAGGGGAAUAUGACGUUGAAAGUCUCUGAAGAGGUUGUGAUAGUUGUUUAAGGGAGUAGAACAUUAAAACAUUUUUGUCUGUUCAAUCUUAAUUUUUAAAAAUGAUAGCAUAGAGUUUGGCCAAUUAUGGAGGGGCUGAUUUCAUCACUAUCAAUGAGCAGUAAACUUUCUUGGUCUUUUAUUUGGGGAAUGUAUUUAUUUUACUUUCACUUUUGAAUGAGACUUAGCUGAUGCAAUGGACUGAAUUGUGUUCCUCCAGAAUUUGUAUGUUGAAGCUGUAAGGGCAAAUGUGACUGUAUUUGGAGGCAGGGCCUUUAAAGAGGUAAUUAAGGUUAACUAAGGUCAUAAAGAUGGGGCCUAACCCAAUAUCACUGUCCUUAUAAGAAGAGACACCCGGGAUGCAUUUGCACAGAGAAAAGGCCCCAGGAAGACACUGCAAGAAGAGGGUGCUCUUCAAGUCAGGGAGAAACCAAACCUACUAACACUUUGAUCUUUGACUUCUGGGCUCCGUAACUGUGAAAAAUAAGCUUCUGUUGUUUAAGCCACCUAAUUUGAGGUAUUUUGUUAUGGCAGCCCUAGAAAA
rnacentral:lncRNA from 1 species